CCUACGGGGGGCAGCAGUGAGGAAUAUUGGUCAAUGGACGGAAGUCUGAACCAGCCAUGCCGCGUGCAGGAAGACGGCUCUAUGAGUUGUAAACUGCUUUUGUACAAGGGUAAACCUGAAUACGUGUAUUCAGCUGAAAGUACUGUACGAAUAAGGAUCGGCUAACUCCGUGCCAGCAGCCGCGGUAAUACGGAGGAUCCAAGCGUUAUCCGGAUUUAUUGGGUUUAAAGGGUGCGUAGGCGGAUUGAUAAGUUAGAGGUGAAAUGUCCGAGCUCAACUCGGGAACUGCCUCUAAUACUGUUGAUCUAGAGAGUAGAUGCGGUAGGCGGAAUGUAUGGUGUAGCGGUGAAAUGCUUAGAGAUCAUACAGAACACCGAUUGCGAAGGCAGCUUACCAAUCUAUAU
rnacentral:rRNA from 1 species